rnacentral:rRNA from 1 species
GUGGGGAAUAUUGCGCAAUGGGGGAAACCCUGACGCAGCGACGCCGCGUGAGCGAAGAAGGCCUUAGGGUUGUAAAGCUCUGUUUUAAGGGACGAAUGUCGUGGGGAGUAAUAUGCUCUGCGAAUGACGGUACCUUAAGAGGAAGCCCCGGCUAACUACGUGCCAGCAGCCGCGGUAAGACGUAGGGAGCGAGCGUUGUCCGGAAUUACUGGGCGUAAAGAGCACGUAGGCGGGAACUUAAGUCAGGUGUGAAAGACCGGGGCUCAACUCCGGGGUUGCACUUGAAACUGGGUUUCUUGAGGGCAGGAGAGGAAAGCAGAAUUCCUGGUGUAGCGGUGAAAUGCGUAGAAAUCAGGAGGAAUACCAGUGGCGAAGGCGGCUUUCUGGACUGACCCUGACGCUGAGGUGCGAAAGCGUGGGUAGCAAACAGGAUUAGAUACCCGAGUAGUCC